GACUAAAAUAUGUCAAAUUUAAUAUAAAAACAAAGCAACAUGCGUAUUUAGGCCCUUUAAGUUAUGCCAAAUAAUAGUCACUUAAGUUAUUAAAGUAUUUCAGGGUCAAAUUAAGCCCUUUAACUUUUUAAAAAUUAUCAAAUAAGUCUUUCAAAAUUUUUAAAAUAGAUGAAAUAAACUCUUAGGGAUAAAUAAGCCAUUUAACUUUUAAAAAUUGAUAAAAAAAAUAAUAAACUAUAAUUUAUCUCUAAUAUAAAUUCAGCCAAGGUCGUGCACGAAAAUCU
rnacentral:misc_RNA from 1 species